GCUACUGAGUGGGAUAGCUCAGUUGGUAGAGCAUGAGACUCUUAAUCUCAGGGUUGUUGUUUUGAGCCCCACAUUGGGCA